AAAGAAAGUAAGCAAGGGCGCAUGGCGGAUGCCUUGGCUCUCGGAGGCGAUGAAGGACGUGAUAAGCUGCGAUAAGCUUCGGGCAGGUGCAAAUAACCUUUGAUCCGAAGAUUUCCGAAUGGGACAACCCGUCAUUCUGAAGGAAUGACAUCUUGCAUAGCAAGAGGCUAACGCAGGGAACUGAAACAUCUUAGUACCUGUAGGAAAAGAAAAUAAUAAUGAUUCCCCUAGUAGUGGCGAGCGAACGGGGAUUAGCCCAAACCAAUGUUGUUACGGCAAUAUUGGGGUUGUAGGACCACGAUGUCGCAAGAAGUUUAGUGAGAAGAACCCUUUGGAAAAUGGGACCAUAGACGGUGAUAGUCCGGUAUUCGAAGCUAAAUGAAGCGUAGUGGUAUCCUGAGUAGCGCGGGACACGAGGAAUCUUGCGUGAAUCUGCCGGGACCAUCCGGUAAGGCUAAAUACUCCCGAGAGACCGAUAGCGAACCAGUACUGUGAAGGAAAGGUGAAAAGCACUUCGAAUAGAAGAGUGAAAUAGUCCCUGAAACCGUGCGCCUACAAGCGGUCGGAGCUGCUUCAGCAGUGACGGCGUGCCUUUUGCAUAAUGAACCUACGAGUUACUUUUUCCGGCAAGGUUAAGGAUCUUGAGAUCCGCAGCCGAAGCGAAAGCGAGUCUUAAUAGGGCGAUUAGUCGGAAGGAGUAGACGCGAAACCAAGUGAUCUACCCUUGGUCAGGUUGAAGGUUAGGUAACACUAACUGGAGGACCGAACCGAUAAGCGUUGAAAAGCUUCCGGAUGAACUGAGGGUGGGGGUGAAAGGCUAAUCAAACUUGGAGAUAGCUCGUACUCCCCGAAAUGCAUUUAGGUGCAGCCUUGGGAAUUACUACUGUGAGGUAGAGCGACUGAUAAGAUGCGAGGGCUUCACCGCCUAUCAAGUCUUGAUAAACUCCGAAUGCGCAGUAGUUCGAUCCCAGGAGUGAGGGCAUGGGUGCUAAGGUCCAUGUCCUAAAGGAGAAGAAUCCAGACCAUCAGCUAAGGUCCCGAAAUAAUUGCUAAGUUGAACUAACGAAGUCAGAUUGCUAAGACAGCUAGGAUGUUGGCUUGGAAGCAGCCAUUCAUUUAAAGAGUGCGUAACAGCUCACUAGUCGAGGAGUUUGGCGUGGAUAAUAAUCGGGCAUUAAGCAAUUUACCGAAGCUAUGGGAUGUUAACUAAACACUAACAUCGGUAGGGGAGCAUUCCACUCUGCGUCGAAGGUGAAGCGUGAGCUUUGCUGGAGCGUGUGGAAAAGCAAAUGUAGGUAUAAGUAACGAUAAAGGGGGUGAGAAACCCCCUCGCCGAAAGACUAAGGUUUCCUGAUCAACGCUAAUCGGAUCAGGGUUAGUCGGGUCCUAAGGCUCAGCCGAACGGUGAGGCCGAUGGCAGAACAGGUUAAUAUUCCUGUACUACCUUAAGGAGUGACGUGGAGACGGAGGAGUGACAACGCCGCGGACUGACGGAAUAGUCCGUUGAAGGGUGUAGAUGUUGAUUAUCCCAGGCAAAUCCGGGAUAAGAGUCGAACCUGAUAGUAUACCAAAUUCUUCGGAAUAAGGUAAUAGUGCGUGUAAGCAUACUCCCAAGAAAAUCCGCUAAACUUAAUCUUUAAGGUACCCGUACCGCAAACGGACACACGUAGUCGGGUUGAAUAUACUAAGGCGCUUGAGUGAUUCACGGUUAAGGAACUAGGCAAAUUGACCCUGUAACUUCGGGAUAAAGGGUCCCAACGAGAGUUGGGCGCAGAGAAUAGGUCCAGGCAACUGUUUAACAAAAACACAGGGCUGUGCUAAAUUGAAAGAUUACGUAUACAGCCUGACACCUGCCCGGUGCUGGAAGGUUAAGAGGAGAUGUCAUCGCAAGAGAAGCAUUGAAUUGAAGCCCCAGUAAACGGCGGCCGUAACUAUAACGGUCCUAAGGUAGCGAAAUUCCUUGUCGGGUANAAUUGCUAAGUUGAACUAACGAAGUCAGAUUGCUAAGACAGCUAGGAUGUUGGCUUGGAAGCAGCCAUUCAUUUAAAGAGUGCGUAACAGCUCACUAGUCGAGGAGUUUGGCGUGGAUAAUAAUCGGGCAUUAAGCAAUUUACCGAAGCUAUGGGAUGUUAACUAAACACUAACAUCGGUAGGGGAGCAUUCCACUCUGCGUCGAAGGUGAAGCGUGAGCUUUGCUGGAGCGUGUGGAAAAGCAAAUGUAG
rnacentral:rRNA from 1 species